CAGGCUUAACACAUGCAAGUCGAGGGGCAGCAUGGUCUUAGCUUGCUAAGGCCGAUGGCGACCGGCGCACGGGUGAGUAACACGUAUCCAACCUGCCGUCUACUCUUGGACAGCCUUCUGAAAGGAAGAUUAAUACAAGAUGGCAUCAUGAGUCCACAUGUUCACAUGAUUAAAGGUAUUCCGGUAGACGAUGGGGAUGCGUUCCAUUAGAUAGUAGGCGGGGUAACGGCCCACCUAGUCUUCGAUGGAUAGGGGUUCUGAGAGGAAGGUCCCCCACAUUGGAACUGAGACACGGUCCAAACUCCUACGGGAGGCAGCAGUGAGGAAUAUUGGUCAAUGGGCGAGAGCCUGAACCAGCCAAGUAGCGUGAAGGAUGACUGCCCUAUGGGUUGUAAACUUCUUUUAUAAAGGAAUAAAGUCGGGUAUGGAUACCCGUUUGCAUGUACUUUAUGAAUAAGGAUCGGCUAACUCCGUGCCAGCAGCCGCGGUAAUACGGAGGAUCCGAGCGUUAUCCGGAUUUAUUGGGUUUAAAGGGAGCGUAGAUGGAUGUUUAAGUCAGUUGUGAAAGUUUGCGGCUCAACCGUAAAAUUGCAGUUGAUACUGGAUAUCUUGAGUGCAGUUGAGGCAGGCGGAAUUCGUGGUGUAGCGGUGAAAUGCUUAGAUAUCACGAAGAACUCCGAUUGCGAAGGCAGCCUGCUAAGCUGCAACUGACAUUGAGGCUCGAAAGUGUGGGUAUCAAACAGGAUUAGAUACCCUGGUAGUCCACACGGUAAACGAUGAAUACUCGCUGUUUGCGAUAUACGGCAAGCGGCCAAGCGAAAGCGUUAAGUAUUCCACCUGGGGAGCACGCCGGCAACGGUGAAACUCAAAGGAAUUGACGGGGGCCCGCACAAGCGGAGGAACAUGUGGUUUAAUUCGAUGAUACGCGAGGAACCUUACCCGGGCUUAAAUUGCAGAUGAAUUACGGUGAAAGCCGUAAGCCGCAAGGCAUCUGUGAAGGUGCUGCAUGGUUGUCGUCAGCUCGUGCCGUGAGGUGUCGGCUUAAGUGCCAUAACGAGCGCAACCCUUGUUGUCAGUUACUAACAGGUUCUGCUGAGGACUCUGACAAGACUGCCAUCGUAAGAUGUGAGGAAGGUGGGGAUGACGUCAAAUCAGCACGGCCCUUACGUCCGGGGCUACACACGUGUUACAAUGGGGGGUACAGAGGGCCGCUACCACGCGAGUGGAUGCCAAUCCCAAAAACCUCUCUCAGUUCGGACUGGAGUCUGCAACCCGACUCCACGAAGCUGGAUUCGCUAGUAAUCGCGCAUCAGCCACGGCGCGGUGAAUACGUUCCCGGGCCUUGUACACACCGCCCGUCAAGCCAUGGGAGCCGGGGGUACCUGAAGUGCGUAACCGCGAGGAGCGCCCUAGGGUAAAACUGGUGACUGGGGCUAAGUCAUAACA
rnacentral:rRNA from 1 species